GGCCAGGAGCGUGCGGGAGGCGUCGCCAGCGCACUUUGCCCGCCGCGGGGCCGCGGGUUCUGGGCCGGGCUGGCUGGCCUUGCCCGCGGGCCCCCAGGGAGGUGAAUCAGGAGGGCGUGACCCUCCCGAGGCCUGCGGCCAGCCAGCCCUUGCCGCGGCUCCGUGGAGACCGGGGACCCUGUCCCAGCCGCCAGAGAAGUGCCAGCCCCUGGUACGGGGCCACAGCUGUACAGUGCAGGACAGAAAUUUGGGGGGGUUUUUUGGGGGUGGGAGAGAACUUGCCGCCUCCCUGCCCCGCCCCAGGCGCCCAGCAGGGCCGGGCUCCGGGUCGGAACCCUGCGGUCGUGACUCAUGGUCACGAGUGAGGAUCCAGAGUGGGCCUCUAACCCGCAGAGCCGCCCGGGCCCCCGGGGCAGAGAUUUUAAGUGAGCAAACUCCGUCCAGACUCUGCAGCCUGCUGAGCCACGUGGCAUUAAACUCCAGGGCACUGACCGUGAACCGCACAGCACAGGAGAUCCACGUUUGCCAUCUUGGAGCGGGGACAGGGCUCAGGCCAGGGUUCUCAACAUGGACACUAUUAACAUCUGAGCUGAAUAAUUCUGGGUUGUGCUCUGACACUGUAGAGCGGUCAACAGCAUCCCUGACCUCUCUCUCCACCACAUGCGGGUAGCAAACCCCAUCAUCCCUCUCCCAGUUGUGACUGUUUUAUCUUUGGAGCAGCGAAACAUAAAGGAGUACCCACAGCGAACAAGCUUCAGAGCAGCGGAGCAAUCUGAAAGACUGCCUCCUGGACUAUCGUCCUCAGUAAGACAAUGAAUAAAGCAUUUACUAACCUACUUUGAGCAGUUGAGCUGGAUGCCAAGGGAGACUGUGUUUGCAGUAUUCAGCAGUGGGGGGAUCUGUUUCAAAGCUCCCAGUGGAUGCCUGAAACUGCCUCAUCCCAAACCCCAGGUCAACAGUUACCUUCGUGAAGGCAGGACAACCACCACAGUGAGUGGGACUCAAGAUGAAGAGACAGGUGGAGACCGCUGUCUUCAGAUACUCUUUGAAGAAACUUCAAGGUGAGGACUAAGAGGGCUGGAGCCGGAGGUCAGCUGGAAGGACGUGUUUCAAGGACUGAGCAGAGGCCGUCUUUAAUCCAAGGGCUCAGGUGACAUUUGCACUUUCCAGCCCCGACAUGUUAACCUAGCACCCGAAAGACAAGGUGUCCCUAGGAAGAGGCGCCAUAGGAAGGGCCCAGAAGUAGGGGCUCAGAGCUGGUUCAUCUACCGUGUGAAUGGAUCUACCUGAAGUCCAGAGGUGUUUUCCAGAAUCCAUGUUUCAGUUAUUUUAUUUCAUUCAUUUUAUUUUUCACAUACUUCUUUUGAAAUCAUGCUCUCUUAUUUAAAAUCUGAGUUAGGGAUCCCUGGGUGGUGCAGCGGUUUAGCGCCUGCCUUUGGCCCAGGGCGCGAUCCUGGAGACCCGGGAUCGAAUCCCACAUCGGGCUCCCGGUGCAUGGAGCCUGCUUCUCCCU